UAAGUAUAUAAGUGCAAACAAACCCAUUUUUAUAGUUAGCAUGGCAUUUUGAAUGGAGUUUGAAGCCUGAACGAUGCUAUCCUACUUGUAGAUGAAGAUGGGAAAUGUAACAGAAACCCAGAACAGUGAUGCAAAAAGGGCUACAAAUGGAAGCUUCUGUUAGCUACAGCAACGUGACAUCACAAGGAGUAUGGGUAAAGAGGCUACAGAAACAUGGAUGACUCCAAAAUCACCGAGUCCCUGAAAACUGUAUCCCAGCAUGUGUGGCAACUCAUGAAAACUGCCUCCUCUUCUCAGCAGUCCUUACUGCUGAUAUGAUCCCAUCAACAUCACUAGCUCCAGGAACUUCCUAAGACCUUCGUUCACAGGAAGAGGCAGCAUGGAAUUUGCCAUUCUAAAAUAAGCUGACAUAUAAGCAGAUGUUGGAACAAUGUCUAUCAUGUAAAAGAGCAACAAGUGGGACAGAAAUAAAAUCUGCAAUGUUUGGAGUGAGAAAAAGCACCAUGAAGUCCUUAAGGUUGCAGCUAAGUUGAAGUCAUGUGCUAAAGAGUCUGUAACUGUCAAAGAGAUUGAUGCUUUUAAGAAGAAGCCUCCUGCUCUGUCUUGGCACAGGGAAAGUGCCCAGCGGCAGCUACAACUUGUGAAAGAGAGACGUGAUCGUGAUGAAGUGAUUAGCUUUGUUUCAGAAGAAACUUGAGCCGCGCAGUGGUGGCGCACGCCUUUAAUCCCAGCACUCAGGAGGCAGAGGCAGGUGGAUCUCCAUGAGUUCGAGGCCAGUCUGGACUACAGAGUGAGUUCCAGGAAAGGCG